CGAUAGCAGAGGCUAGCUAGGAUGUCCAAGCUGAGCCUACAGAGGAAGGGUGGGAAGGAAAGGGGUUAGUGAGUGACCCUGGCAUUGGAGUUUUCCUUUGCCUCUUCCGGACCAAGAGCCCACGGGAGAGGCUAAUUCAGAAGAGGACUUCUGAAAAAGAAGUGGCUUAAAUCUUGAAAGGUAGUCUUCUAAUCAACUGUUACCUAAGGAUGAACCCAUUUAUGGACUCUCGGGUCUGAAAAGAAAAUAACAUUGUCUAGAUGGGAACUGCAUAGAGUCUUCAGCUGUCAAGAUCUGGUAGUUUCAUGGAAGUAUUCUCUUGCUGGAAG
rnacentral:lncRNA from 1 species